rnacentral:rRNA from 1 species
UACGUAGGGGGCGAGCGUUGUCCGGAAUCAUUGGGCGUAAAGCGCGUGUAGGCGGCCCGGUAAGUCCGCUGUGAAAGUCCAGGGCUCAACCCUGGGAUGCCGGUGGAUACUGUCGGGCUCGAGUCCGGAAGAGGCGAGUGGAAUUCCUGGUGUAGCGGUGAAAUGCGCAGAUAUCAGGAGGAACACCGAUGGCGAAGGCAGCUCGCUGGGACGGUACUGACGCUGAGGCGCGAAAGCGUGGGGAGCGAACAGG